UGAAACCACUAGGGGUGCUUGUUGUGCUGAGAGAGGAAUAAUCCUUAACCCUUACAGACCUGAUCUAGGUAAUACUAGCGAAGGGAAGUGGAGCAACGAAUAA
rfam:Bacillus thuringiensis serovar israelensis ATCC 35646 sq1724, whole genome shotgun sequence.